rnacentral:rRNA from 1 species
UGGCGGCGUGGUUAAGACAUGCAAGUCGAACGAGAGAAUUGCUAACUUGCUAAUAAUUCUCUAGUGGCGCACGGGUGAGUAACACGUGAGUAACCUGCCCCCGAGAGCGGGAUAGCCCUGGGAAACUGGGAUUAAUACCGCAUAGUAUCGAAAGAUUAAAGCAGCAAUGCGCUUGGGGAUGGGCUCGCGGCCUAUUAGUUAGUUGGUGAGGUAACGGCUCAUCAAGGCGAUGACGGGUAGCCGGUCUGAGAGGAUGUCCGGCCACACUGGAACUGAGACACGGUCCAGACACCUACGGGUGGCAGCAGUCGAGAAUCAUUCACAAUGGGGGAAACCCUGAUGGUGCGACGCCGCGUGGGGGAAUGAAGGUCUUCGGAUUGUAAACCCCUGUCAUGUGGGAGCAAAUUAAAAAGAUAGUACCACAAGAGGAAGAGACGGCUAACUCUGUGCCAGCAGCCGCGGUAAUACAGAGGUCUCAAGCGUUGUUCGGAAUCACUGGGCGUAAAGCGUGCGUAGGCUGUUUCGUAAGUCGUGUGUGAAAGGCGCGGGCUCAACCCGCGGACGGCACAUGAUACUGCGAGACUAGAGUAAUGGAGGGGGAACCGGAAUUCACGGUGUAGCA